AUGCGCGUUUUUGCCAUUUGGAUUGUGUGGGGAGCAUGUCUGAUAGAUCCCAAUCAUGGAGAUACCGUCACACAAUCGCUGCCGUCAUUACAGAAAGUGGAAGGAGAGUCGGUGACUUUCAGCUGCACCUAUGAUACCGCAGCAACGAACUACCUCUUAUUUUGGUACCGGCAUCAUCAGGACUCAAGGCCCGAGUUCAUACUGUGGAAACAUUCAGGAGGAACCGAGAAGAAAGCCGAUUUUGCAGGCGAUCGCUUCUCUGCCCAGCUCCAGAUCGAUAGAAAAUUAGUCAGUUUAACCCUAUCGGGGCUGCAGCUGAGCGACUCUGCAGUUUAUUACUGCGCCUUUAGCCUCACAGUGAUGGAAACCAGUGAAACCUUCAUACAAAAACAUCAGCUUCUGCUUUGCCUGCUGCAGUGAGAUACGUCUGCACCGCGCUUGCUGGUUGUGGUUUCCCGCGGUCUGAGAAUUCUUCCCAACUCACUCAGUUUCUCUCGAGGGCGGCUUGCGGUGUCAUCGGCGCAGCUGAAACCCACCGACUCCCUUUCUGUCAUCCGUGCUAAGCGCGGCAUCUGUGUGAACAGAAUCGCCUUGUCUGUAGUCUGGAAAACACAAGGAUUGUGUUUAGAUUUAUAAUGGUCAGAGAUACAGUGAUUAACUAUGCUUUACAUACUAACUGGCAGAUCAGAUAACGAUCCAUAAAUACAACCCAUUCAAACCGAAGUGCUAUAGAUAGAGCAAAGGGAAAGAUAGAGAGUGCAGAAUAAAGUUCUCCACAUUGUAGCGCAUCAAUUCCAGAAUCAAAUCCCAAUGUCCACAAUGGGGUCGAUGUGCACCGGCCUGUACUCUACUUUACGGAGUUAAAUCCUGUAGUCCCCUGCCGAAGAUAGACACAAAAUGCAGGUGGGACAUAAGGCAUAUCCGGGGAGAAGAUGGGUGACGUUUCGGGUCAAGAUCGAGAUUCAGGAGAGAGGGAGACUAGAGAUAUGGAACUGUAAGGUGUGAUAACGAGAGAUUAAAACGGACGCAAGUCCAGGAAAUGUCUAAUAUCAUUGUUAGCUGUGGUAGAAGGCAACAACUUGGCAUUCAAACAGAAACAUUAAUGAGAUUAUGAAUGAUAACGAAAUUGGAAAUGUAUCGCUUAUUGGCGACGCCGAGCAACAUCAUCUUCUUCAUCUGCGUGUUCCCUACAUUGGCGAUUAUUGGCUCGAUUGGGGAACGCAAUGUAGCUCAUUGCAGCUGAGAGCAGUACAUCGAGUCAGCAGCAUCUCGAAGAAGACCCACGAGGUCACGGCGAGAACCUACAGACUCCGUACAGACAGCACCCGUAGACGGGAUCGAUCCCGUAUCUCCGGCGCUGCAAGUGCUGUAAGGCAGCAACUCUACUGCUGCGCCACCGUGGCCGUUCGGAAUUUAAUUUGGUUGGGUUGGAUUGGAAUGGUGGGCAGGGUAAAUAAUUCACGCGAAUGCUUUGCGGUUUGGGAGAGCACCGUGAAUGUUGGUAAAUGAACACAACGCAUUUUCGCGGAGAAUAAUAAAGAUAGGCACCAAGUCAAGAAAGAUUUCCACACGCUAAAAAAACCGUUCAAAAUAACAAAAUGGCCUUCUCCUCCUUGAAUAAACUGUGAGCUGGUAAAUGUUUGAUGAAGCGAGGGGUGGAUCUCAUCAUUGAAACUGGAGAUGAACAACCAACAGAAUAACUUGCAGCAAUUUGAAAUGUGACAUAUGGUUGUUAAAGUAGAGGAGCGUCUUGGCGUUCAAACCUUCAUCUCAAUCUCGGAUUCAGUGCCUUUCUCUUAACAUCUCCUCUGUGCCAUUUUACAAAGCACUUGCCCACAUAUCGCCCCUACUCGUGCCU